UGUGAAAGACAAUAUCAAGAAAUGGAAAAGAAAAGACAUAGACUGGAGGAAAAUAUUUAUAAAACAUGUAUCUCGUAGCUCUUAAAACUCAAAAAUAAGAAAAUAACUAAAAAAAAUAAUAAAUGAGCCAAAGACUUUAGCCAACACCUCACCAAAGAAGACACACAGAUGACAAAGAGGCAGACAAAAUGAUGCUCCACGUCAUAUUUCACCAGGGAAAAACAAAUAAGAACAAUAUAUCAGUACACACUUACCUAUAAUGGCCAAAAUCUAGAACACUGACAACACCAAAUGCUGGCAAAGACGUGAAGCGAAAGGAUCUCUCAUUCAUGCUGGUGGGAAUGUAAAACGGUACAGCCAGUUUGGAUGACAAUUUGACAGUUUUUUUUUUUUUUUUUUUUUUUUUGAGACAGAGUCUCGCUCCGUCACCAGGCUGGAGUGCAGUGGCGCGAUCCCAGCUCACUGCAACCUCCACCUCCCGGGUUCAAGCAAUUCUCUUGCCUCAGCCUCCUGAGUAGCUGGAACUACAGGCACACGCCACCAUGCCCAGCUAAUUUUUGUAUUUUUAGUAGAGACGGGGUUUCACCAUGUUGGCCAGGAUGGUCUCGAUCUCUUGACCUCAUGAUGCGCCCGCCUUGUUCUCCCAAAGUGCUGGGAUUACAGGCAUAAGCCACCGUGCCCGGCUGGCAAUUUCUUAUAAAAUUAAACAUGCUCUUACUAUUUGAUUCAGUAAUUAGAGUCCUUAGUAUUUACCCAAAGAUGCUGAAAACUUAGGUCCACACAAAUCUUCACAUGGACCUUUACAGCAGCUUUAUUCAUAACUGCCAAAGCUUGGAAGCAGUCAAGAUGCUGUUCAGUAGAUAAAUGGAUAAACGAUAGUACAUCCAGAAAUAAAAUAUUAUUCAGUGUUAAAAUGAUAUAUGCUAUCGAGCCUGAAAAUACAUGGAUGAAACUUAAGUGUUUAUUACUAAGUGAAAGAAGCCAGUCUGAAAGGCUAAAUAGUAUAUGACCAACAAUUUGAUAUUCUGGAAACAGUAAAACUAUAGAGACAGUGAAACAAUUAGUGGAGUUUGUGGGGAAUAA
rnacentral:lncRNA from 10 species